UGGGGAAUCUUGCACAAUGGGCGAAAGCCUGAUGCAGCAACGCCGCGUGCGGGAAGAAGGCCUUAGGGUUGUGAACCGCUUUCAGCAGGGAAGAAAAUGACGGUACCUGCAGAAGAAGGUGCGGCCAACUACGUGCCAGCAGCCGCGGUGACACGUAGGCACCAAGCGUUGUCCGGAUUUAUUGGGCGUAAAGAGCUCGUAGGCGGUUCAGUAAGUCGGGUGUGAAAACUCUGGGCUCAACCCAGAGAGGCCACCCGAUACUGCUGUGACUUGAGUACGGUAGGGGAGUGGGGAAUUCCUGGUGUAGCGGUGAAAUGCGCAGAUAUCAGGAGGAACACCGGUGGCGAAGGCGGUUCUCUGGGCAUUACCUGACGCUGAGGAGCGAAAGUGUGGGGAGCGAA
rnacentral:rRNA from 1 species